GCUAAUUGCAACUUGGAAGAUGCAGAUAACUGGACGGCUCUUAUUUCAGCAGCUAAAGAAGGACAUGCAGCUAUUGUAGCAGAGCUGCUCAAUUAUAAUGUCAGUUUGGAGCAUCGGGAUUUGGGAGGAUGGACUGCCCUGAUGUGGGCAUCAUAUAAAGGCCGGACCGAAGUAGCUAAACUGCUGCUUGAGAAAGGAGCAAAUCCAAACAUCACAGGAAUGCAAUACAGUGUUUAUCCAAUUAUUUGGGCAGCAGGACGGGGCCACUCGGAUAUAGUACAUCUCUUACUGCAACAUGGAGCUAAAGUGAACUGCUC